GAUGAACGCUAGCUACAGGCUUAACACAUGCAAGUCGAGGGGCAGCAUGGUCUUAGCUUGCUAAGACUGAUGGCGACCGGCGCACGGGUGAGUAACACGUAUCCAACCUGCCGUCUACUCUUGGACAGCCUUCUGAAAGGAAGAUUAAUACAAGAUGGCAUCAUGAGUCCGCAUGUUCACAUGAUUAAAGGUAUUCCGGUAGACGAUGGGGAUGCGUUCCAUUAGAUAGUAGGCGGGGUAACGGCCCACCUAGUCUUCGAUGGAUAGGGGUUCUGAGAGGAAGGUCCCCCACAUUGGAACUGAGACACGGUCCAAACUCCUACGGGAGGCAGCAGUGAGGAAUAUUGGUCAAUGGGCGAGAGCCUGAACCAGCCAAGUAGCGUGAAGGAUGACUGCCCUAUGGGUUGUAAACUUCUUUUAUAAAGGAAUAAAGUACGGGUAUGGAUAACCCGUUUGCAUGUACUUUAUGAAUAAGGAUCGGCU
rnacentral:rRNA from 1 species